CAGCAGUGGGGAAUUUUGGACAAUGGGCGAAAGCCUGAUCCAGCCAUCCCGCGUGAGUGAAGAAGGCCUUCGGGUUGUAAAGCUCUUUCGGCAGGGAAGAAACGGACACGGAUAAUACCUGUGUCUAAUGACGGUACCUAAUGAGGAAGCCACGGCUAACUACGUG
rnacentral:rRNA from 1 species